GACGAACGCUGGCGGCGUGCUUAACACAUGCAAGUCGAACGGAAAGGCCCUGCUUUUGUGGGGUGCUCGAGUGGCGAACGGGUGAGUAACACGUGAGUAACCUGCCCUUGACUUUGGGAUAACUUCAGGAAACUGGGGCUAAUACCGGAUAGGAGCUCCUGCUGCAUGGUGGGGGUUGGAAAGUUUCGGCGGUUGGGGAUGGACUCGCGGCUUAUCAGCUUGGUGGUGGGGUAGUGGCUUACCAAGGCUUUGACGGGUAGCCGGCCUGAGAGGGUGACCGGCCACAAUGGGACUGAGAUACGGCCCAGACUCCUACGGGAGGCAGCAGUGGGGAAUAUUGCACAAUGGGCGGAAGCCUGAUGCAGCAACGCCGCGUGCGGGAUGACGGCCUUCGGGUUGUAAACCGCUUUCGCCUGUGACGAAGCGUGAGUGACGGUAAUGGGUAAAGAAGCACCGGCUAACUACGUG
rnacentral:rRNA from 1 species